UCUAUUUUUGGGUGACCCCAUCGAUAGAAGAUGGGCUGGAGAACCCGGUGCUGGAGCUUCCGGGUGGGCUGGAGAACCCAUAUUCUGGAGCAAUGUGCCUGUUGAGAGUGUCAGCAAUUAUGUUAUUGAAGCCUGGUCCUGAAACUGCUUCAAGUCAUCUGGAGGAGAUAACUGCUUCAUCAGGAGAUGAUGAGGAGAAGUCAGUCGGUGAAAUGUCUGGUGGCUGCUCUUCCAUUUCGGAUAAUUGCCUCUCCUCAGGUUCAGAUUGCUGAGCUGUGGGAGGAAAAGUGGGAGCCAGACCAGCUGUGAUUGUGGGGCAACUGACACCAUCUGAGCCAGCCGCCUGAUUCCAGGAUAUCUGCAGUCGUCAGAGGGUCCAGGAGGACCUCAUGAGGGAGCACAUCUCCGUCCUCCAGGACACGCAACAGACGCUGGCCCAGAAGGUCCCGGAUGACACAAAGUGGCGGGCCCAGAUGUGGACUAAGCUGCUGCAGCAGACCACAACAUGUGUGCAACCAUCCAGGAGCUCAUGACCUACCUGGCACCGGUCCCAGUCCCUGCUCCCCCUCCCAUGCCUGACCCCGCUCCAGGCCCCCCUGCUGCCUGUCCCCCUAUCCUCCCAGGACUCCCCCACUCCCAAGGUUGCCGAGGUCCCCGCACACGAGGCAGAAGAAACACCUGAGCCACGCGCCACUCUCAGCCCCAGCUCUGAACCUCUCCUCCCCACUCCAAGGUUCUCACUCCUCCUCCCCAU